GACGAACGCUGGCGGCGUGCCUAAUACAUGCAAGUCGAGCGAAUGAUGAAGAAGCUUGCUUCUUCUGAUUUAGCGGCGGACGGGUGAGUAACACGUGGGCAACCUACCUUGUAGAUUGGGAUAACUCCGGGAAACCGGGGCUAAUACCGAAUAAUCCAUCUCUUCGCAUGAGGAGAUGUUAAAAGACGGCCUUGUGCUGUCACUACAGGAUGGGCCCGCGGCGCAUUAGCUAGUUGGUGGGGUAAUGGCUCACCAAGGCGACGAUGCGUAGCCGACCUGAGAGGGUGAUCGGCCACACUGGGACUGAGACACGGCCCAGACUCCUACGGGUGGCUG
rnacentral:rRNA from 1 species